rnacentral:rRNA from 1 species
GGGGGGGGGGGGGGGGGGGGGGGGGGGGGGGGGGGGGGGCGGGGGGGCCGGGUGGGGGGUGCGCGGGCGGCGAGCGGGUGGGUGAGACGUGGGUGACCUGCCCUCGGCGCGGGGGUGAGCCUGGGAGACUGGGUCUGGUGCCGGAUAUGACCUUUCCUCGCAUGGGGGUUGGGGGAAGGUUUUUUCGGCUGGGGAUGGGCCCGCGGCCUAUCAGCUUGUUGGUGGGGUGAUGGCCUACCCAGGCGACGGCGGGUAGCCGGCCUGAGAGGGCGACCGGCCACACUGGGACUGAGACACGGCCCAGACUCCUACGGGAGGCAGCAGUGGGGAAUAUUGCGCAAUGGGCGGAAGCCUGACGCAGCGACGCCGCGUGGGGGAUGACGGCCUUCGGGUUGUAAACCUCUUUCGACCCCGACGAAUUUGGACGGUAGGGGUAGAAGAAGCACCGGCCAACUACGU